UAGCUAGUUGGUGAGGUAAAGGCUUACCAAGGCGACGAUCUGUAGCGGGUCUGAGAGGAUGAUCCGCCGCACUGGAACUGAGACACGGUCCAGACUCCUACGGGAGGCAGCAGUGGGGAAUUUUGGACAAUGGGGGCAACCCUGAUCCAGCCAUGCCGCGUGAGUGAAGAAGGCCUUCGGGUUGUAAAGCUCUUUCGGCCGGGAAGAAAUCGCAUGGGCCAAUACCCUGUGUGGAUGACGGUACCGGAAUAAGAAGCACCGGCUAACUACGUGCCAGCAGCCGCGGUAAUACGUAGGGUGCGAGCGUUAAUCGGAAUUACUGGGCGUAAAGCGUGCGCAGGCGGUUUUGUAAGACAGGCGUGAAAUCCCCGGGCUUAACCUGGGAACUGCGUUUGUGACUGCAAGGCUAGAGUACGGCAGAGGGGGGUGGAAUUCCACGUGUAGCAGUGAAAUGCGUAGAGAUGUGGAGGAACACCAAUGGCGAAGGCAUCCCCCUGGGUCGAUACUGACGCUCAUGCACGAAAGCGUGGGUAGCAAACAGGAUUAGAUACCCUGGUAGUCCACGCCCUAAACUAUGUCAACUAGGUGUUGGGUGGGUAAAACCAUUUAGUACCGUAGCUAACGCGUGAAGUUGACCGCCUGGGGAGUACGGCCGCAAGGUUAAAACUCAAAGGAAUUGACGGGGACCCGCACAAGCGGUGGAUGAUGUGGAUUAAUUCGAUGCAACGCGAAAAACCUUACCUACCCUUGACAUGCCAGGAACUUGCCAGAGAUGGCUUGGUGCCCGAAAGGGAGCCUGGACACAGGUGCUGCAUGGCUGUCGUCAGCUCGUGUCGUGAGAUGUUGGGUUAAGUCCCGCAACGAGCGCAACCCUUGUCGUUAAUUGCCAUCAUUUAGUUGGGCACUUUAACGAGACUGCCGGUGACAAACCGGAGGAAGGUGGGGAUGACGUCAAGUCCUCAUGGCCCUUAUGGGUAGGGCUUCACACGUCAUACAAUGGUCGGUACAAAGGGUUGCCAAGCCGCGAGGCGGAGCCAAUCCCAGAAAGCCGAUCGUAGUCCGGAUUGCAGGCUGCAACUCGCCUGCAUGAAGUCGGAAUCGCUAGUAAUCGUGGAUCAGCAUGUCACGGUGAAUACGUUCCCGGGUCUUGUACACACCGCCCGUCACACCAAGGGAGCGGGUUCCGCCAGAAGUAGGUAGCCUAACCGCAAGGGGGGCGCUUACCACGGCGGGGUUCGUGACUGGGGUGAAGUCGUAACAAGGUAGCCGUAGGGGAACCUGCGGCUG
rnacentral:rRNA from 1 species